UGGGGAAUUUUGCACAAUGGGGGAAACCCUGAUGCAGCGACGCCGCGUGAUUUAGAAGGCCUUCGGGUUGUAAAAAUCUUUUCUAUGGGAAGAAAAUGACAGUACCAUAGGAAUAAGGACCGGCUAAUUACGUGCCAGCAGCCGCGGUAAUACGUAAGGUCCGAGCGUUGUCCGGAAUCAUUGGGCGUAAAGGGUACGUAGGCGGGUAAGCAAGUUAGAAGUGAAAUCCUAUAGCUCAACUAUAGUAAGCUUUUAAAACUGCUCAUCUUGAGGUAUGGAAGGGAAAGUGGAAUUCCUAGUGUAGCGGUGAAAUGCGCAGAUAUUAGGAGGAAUGCCGGUGGCGAAGGCGACUUUCUGGCCAUAACCUGACGCUGAGGUACGAAAGCGUGGGUAGCAAACAAG
rnacentral:rRNA from 1 species